rnacentral:rRNA from 1 species
GACGAACGUUGGCGGCGUGCUUAAUACAUGCAAGUCAACUGAAGCAGUGGUAGCAAUCUCGCUGUGGAGGUGGCGCACGGGUGAGUAACACGUAGGCAAUCUGCCUUCAGGUCUGGCAUAACUCCGGGAAACCGGGGCUAAUAGCAGAUGAUGCAGCGGCUCGACAUCGAGACAGUUGUUAAAGCUAUGGCGCCUGAAGAUGAGCCUGCGUCUGAUUAGCUAGUUGGCGGGGUAACGGCCCACCAAGGCAACGAUCAGUAGCUGGUCUGAGAGGAUGAUCAGCCACACUGGAACUGAGACACGGUCCAGACUCCUACGGGAGGCAGCAGUAAGGAAUAUUGCUCAAUGGGAGAAAUCCUGAAGCAGCAACGCCGCGUGAGGGACGAAGGGCUUUUGCUUGUAAACCUCUGUAGUGAGAGAAAAAAAUCCCAAUCUUUGGGACAUGAUGGUAUCUCAAAAGUAAGCCCCGGCUAACUACGUG